AUUGAACGCUGGCGGCAUGCUUUACACAUGCCAGUCGAACGGCAGCGCGGGCUUCGGCCUGGCGGCGAGUGGCGAACGGGUGAGUAAUACAUCGGAACGUGCCCAGUAGUGGGGGAUAGCUCGGCGAAAGCCGGAUUAAUACCGCAUACGACCUGAGGGUGAAAGCGGGGGAUCUUCGGACCUCGCGCUAUUGGAGCGGCCGAUGGCAGAUUAGCUAGUUGGUGGGGUAAAGGCCUACCAAGGCGACGAUUUGUAGCUGGUCUGAGAGGACGACCAGCCACACUGGGACUGAGACACGGCCCAGACUCCUACGGGAGGCAGCAGUGGGGAAUUUUGGACAAUGGGCGAAAGCCUGAUCCAGCAAUGCCGCGUGUGUGAUGAAGGCCUUCGGGUUGUAAAGCACUGUUGGCGGGAACGAAAAGGACUGUGCCAAUACCACGGUUCGAUGACGGUACCCGCAGAAUAAGCACCGGCUAACUACGUG
rnacentral:rRNA from 1 species